rnacentral:lncRNA from 1 species
AAACUGGGAUGGCUGAAGACAGAGUAUAAGCAGAUCAACAAAAUGUUUAGCUUUCGAAAAGUUGAUUUCUAGCAAAUUCUCCUGUAUUGGAAGAUAUCCAACAAUAUCAUCCCUGAACCAAAAACAGGUCAUUGUCAUGAAGGAAAUUUCCUCAUACAAGUUUGUUUCAAACGUUUCUGUUUUGGCUAGAUUAAACAAGUCGUUGGGAAUGAACAAUGGAAGCUGAUUUUCUAGCGGCAAAAUCUCAUGCCUCACAUCAUCAUACAAUAUGAUUUUCCUAAUAUGGGAUCCUCAUUCGUUCUGAGGUUAGGUUGAUAAUACUUCAGAAAGAGCUCAAUGAGAAACACACCAUCCACAAAAACCAUUUUUAUGAACUCAUCACUCUCAAGAUGAAUUGUUUCACCAUGAUGAAAAGGGCCUAUUGAAACAAUUCGCGGAGUAAAAUGACUUGGAUGGAAACACCGCGUGGUCUCCGGUACUCUGUAGAUGGAACACUCUCUGGCUAAAGGAUGCAAUGACCCCAUCUCCCCACUCAAAGAAUCCGCCAACUUCUCAAUAUCAAUCGAUACAUCAUAACCCUUGUUGGGGGGACUUAGCAUAAGAUUUCUAGGUAUCCAACCCAAAAGACUAGCCUUUUAGGUGGAGUGACCUACCACCUUAUAAACCCAAGCAUCUCCCCUUUACUAGCCAAUGUGGGACACAACUUAACAAUCCCCCCCUCGGACGAAACCACCGCCGGACUCCGGUCCUUUCAUCCGACACACCUGAGUUGUUCCACCACCACAUUCCGGCUACUAGGGUCUAGCUCUGAUACCAAUUGUUGGGGGGACUUAGCAUAAGAUUUCUAGGUAUCCAACCCAAAAGACUAGCCUUUUAGGUGGAGUGACCUACCACCUUAUAAACCCAAGCAUCUCCCCUUUACUAGCCAAUGUGGGACACAACUUAACAAUCCCCCCCUCGGACGAAACCACCGCCGGACUCCGGUCCUUUCAUCCGACACACCUGAGUUGUUCCACCACCACAUUCCGGCUACUAGGGUCUAGCUCUGAUACCAAUUGUUGGGGGGACUUAGCAUAAGAUUUCUAGGUAUCCAACCCAAAAGACUAGCCUUUUAGGUGGAGUGACCUACCACCUUAUAAACCCAAGCAUCUCCCCUUUACUAGCCAAUGUGGGACACAACUCAACAACCCUCAUGCUCAUGCUUUCUUGCGUCCAUCUUCUCAUUAAUUGCUGGCUGCAGUAGCAACAAAAUAAAUGAAAAAGAGUGAUGAUAGAGACACAAACUCUUGUACAAAUUUACUCUGCACAAACUGAUUUGGCAUCAACUCAUUGGUUGAAUAAAAAUACUUGAAUAAAAAUACAAUAUAAUUAAAAAAAAAAGAUGGAAUAAGAGAUAUUUAAUUCAACCAAUUAAAUCAUGCCAUAUCAAUUUAUACAAAAAAAUUUGACAUGCCUCCUUAUAAACCCAAGUAUCUCCCAAUUUUUUAGCCAGUUUAGGACACAACUCAAUACAUAUCUAUCAUAAACUUAUUAACAAUUCAAAAAUUAAGACAAGCCAAUACUCACAUUUCUAUCUUUGUUUCUUGAAUUAAUUAUGGAUGAUGAAAUCAGUAUUACAUAUGAUCGACCUUGUCGUCCGAAUAAAUCGGUCCAUAUACUUCAUAUAUAUAUAUAUAUAAUAAAUUGAUGUUGCACAUUUAUUCCUUUCUUCAGAACAUCGCAAUUCUCUUGUCUUUUAUGGAAUCUCUCUUUCAAUAAAGUCAGUAACUGUUUUCUUUCUUUACAGGUUCCCAUCUAAUAGGAUGCAUGCUUUAAGCUUCAUAAUUGAAAUCAUCAAAAAUUACAAAACAAAAAAUCAAGGACAAAGAUUGUAUUGGUUGUUAUAGUCUUAGAGAAAUCUCUUUACAUAAAAGUUUAAGUUGAUUGGUAAGAAUCAAUAAGUAUUAUAAGUUUCCUCAAGCAUUAAAACCAGAACCCGUAGGUAAGCUGAGAGAUAAGAGAAUUUUAAAGUAAGUCAAUAAAUUAAAAUAAAAUAAAAUUUGUAUGAAGGAGAAUAAACUUGAGAAAGCUUGUUAGUGAAAUAAUUUGGUUCAAGAGUUUAAGCAGAAUCAUAAGGAUCCAAUAAUAGCGUUAAAAUCAAGUCUCGUUAUGAUAAACAAUUUAGUGUAGCCUAAAAUGAAUUAUUGAACAUCAUCUUAAGUUAACUAAAACUUAAAGCAGGUUGGUUUGGGUUUCUCUAAGAAAAUAGGUAAAAGCAUAAACAUGUAUCAAGUCUUAUUGUAGAUACUUCCACCCAGGGGAAGCUGCCCCAUGUAAAACAGAGGCCACGCCCUGUUGUAGGUCCAAAAGCAAUUAUUAAAUAUAGUUAUGUAAAUUUACAAUUUCAGGUUUUAAUAUUUAUUUUGCUGAUUUGGCCCCCGCUAACUUUAAAAGUUUAACAUUUUACCCAUUAAUUAUUAUGAUACUCUUUUUAACUUUAACCUUAAAACAUUUACCCGUAUAAUAUUUGGAAACCCCCCCCCCCCCCCCAAAAAANNNNNNNNNNNCAACAAAAAAAAUUUUAUUCUAGCUCCGCCCCUUUUCAUCCAUCCAUGCAUGCAAAAGUUAUUUAAUACUUCAAAUUUCUCAACAUUUAUUUAUGCAUGACACAGCAACUUUAAUAUUUGAAAAAAUUUACCGUUCUACAAUGAGACUCACUGCUGUACCAAACGAAAUAUCAUGUUCUUUCGCAAGUUAGUUGUCUAGAAGCAGCAUUUUUUUUCCUUUAAAAUUAAAGGCUGGGGUCAUGAUUUCCCGCCAAAUUCAAAACCGAAUCCAGCUGUCAAAAAAUGCCCAUCAUCUUCAUCAACUCCAGUCUCUUCUCUAUUCCUCAAAACGCCACUUGAUCACAAUACAGACAUUAUAUCACACUUCAUACUUACUUCACUUUCAAUUACACUUAACUUUACAAGAUCAUUUUCCAAUAACUUGCCUUAUAAGAGCUGUUUUUGUCCAAUAUUGUUCAGCCCGAAACCUAAUGGGAUCUUUUUUAUGCAGAAAGUGGUUUCCUGGUGAAGAUCAAUGUUGGGCUGUCUGCAGAUAGUUUUGGCUAGAUUAAACAAGUCAUUGAGAAUGAACAAUGGAAGCUGAUUUUCUAGCAGCAAAAUCUCAAGCUUGACAUCAUCAUGCAAAAAUGAUUUUCUUAAUAUGGGAUCCUCAUUAGUUCUGAAAUUAGGUUGGUAGAAUUUCAUAAAGAACUCGAUGAUAAACACAACAUCCACUAAAACCAUGGGAGGACCCAAUUAAGGUCCAUAAGGGUUGCCCAAUUAAGGCACAACUACUUCUGAGCCAUUAAUUUUUUUUUUUUUAAAUGUACCCAAAGUCCCUUCUCAAAGAGUUAAAUAAAAAAAUUUAGACACAUUUUGUAUAUAACAAAAGACUUGUAGUUUAAUGGUAAGAGUGUUAUUUGAUGGUUUUAAAGUCUUGAUUUAAAUCCCAAUAACCAUAUUGUUUUGUUUUUUUUUAUAAAUAUUUUGUGAAAAAUACUUAGAAAAAUUAUACUUUCACGCAUUUAAAAUAAAUAAUUUAUUACAAUUAUUAUUUAGAAUUUAAAAGAAAGUAAUGAAAUUUGAGUUUAUGAGACUUAAAAUAUUAUUCAAAUGAACGUUAAAAAAAAUCUCAAAUAAAAUAAAAUAAUUUUAACUAAACCCCUAAUUUAAGUGUCUGGAUCUCCCACUGACUAAAACCAUUUUUAUGAACUCAUCAGUCUCAAGAUGAAUUGUUUCAGCAUAACAGUUGCGCAAUUCUGCUUCCCUUGCCUUUAUGAAUCCAAGGAAACUUAUUGCUAUCUUUUCUUAUGCUCGUUGAAGAAAGCACUUAAGGUAUCUUUUCUUAUGCUCUUCCAUGGCUUUUACUAUGAAUAGCCUUGUAAUCAGGUUCACGAUUAAUUAGAAUUAUUGCUUUGUUUUUAUCAGAAUUUUCUCUCUCAAUUCUCAGCUUUCUCUUUACUUUUCUCGGUAACCAAACAGUACAAAUUAGUUAAAUAAGCUUUGAUUGCAAUGACUCCAAUUCCCCACUCAAAGAAUCUGCCAACCUCUCCAUAUCAAUCGAUACAUCACAACGCUCACGCUCACGCUUCCUGGCAUCCAUCUUCUUAUUAAUUGCUCGCUGCGGUGGCAACAAAAUGUAUGAAAUCAGUAAAAUAGAAAGAAAACAAGUAGCAUUAAGAACUGUUUGAUAAUGAGAAAAACUCUGUUUGGUUGUAGAGAAAGUGAGAAAGAAAGUGAUGUAAAAUGAAGAAGAAAGUAAACUUUUUGUAUUAUUGAGUUUUUGGAAGCUAACAAAAUAACAACUAACUAAUGAUAUUUAUGCAUGCUAAUAAUACAUGAGUUUGUUAUGGAAUCUAUCUAGAAGAUUCAUACAGCUAACAGCUACUGAAUCUGUUUGUAACUAACUAUCCACAUCAGCAUAACUAACAUUUGUUUUUUGAGAACUUGAGAAGGUCUAUUGGACUGUUUAAACUUGUUCAGUUUAGUAAUAGAACAAUUCCAACCAAUCGUGCACUCGUCGGAUAACAAAACCGAGUUGCUUUCUUUUAAAAUUGAAUAAUUUGUUUUCAUCUUAUUUUUUUCAAUAAAGCAAAAAAUUAGCAAUCGCGUUCAAAUAAUCCAAUAGGCCACAAACACUCCAAAGUUUCUGUUGAGGCUGGGUGACAGUGACACGAUUUAUUAAAACCGGGCCCCGGCUCAUGAGCCUGUUUCUGUACUUGAUCAUAUUUUAAUGAAGAGUGUGUAAGAAAAUGAAUCCUGUUUCCUAUAUUAAAUUAGUCUAUUCCACUGGUGUAACUGUCUGGCUAUACCAAGAAAGCCUUUCGUAUCUUCCAUCUCUUCAAUGAUUUGGGGUCUCUCCAUUGGUGUUCUAAAUACUCAUUGAAAUUGAGUGGGAAAAUUUGUCAGUUCAGCUCAAAAAAUAUGUGCAUGUAUUGAUGGUGGUGACAUAUAUAGUAGAUAAGUGUGACAGUUUACACAACUACUUGAAAAUGCUUUGAUCCUUUAGAUGACAAUCUAGGUUUUGUUGCACUUUUUGACCGUGGUAGAAAUUGUCACUAAUAUUGUGAUAUAUCUUUUAUGCCAUAAGUACCUCACAUUUAUAUGUCUCAAAUUCAGGGUUAGGCCGACUAUGGGCCAAUUAGGUAAUGUUAUAACUUUUAAAAUAAUUAAUAUUAAUUGUGUUGUAAAAUUAAUCAGCUACAAAAGUUAAACAUUUACUAAAAAAAUAUUUUUAAAAGUAUUGUGAGUUAUAAAAUCAGUCAUAUGUAUUUAGUAAGAAUCCUAUUAUAAUACAAAUGAAAAAAAUAGACAUAAUAUUAAAUAAAAUUUAUUUGCAUAUUUAUAAACAAGUAUAUAUAAUAUUUUUUAGUGUAUAUAUAAUAAUUGAUAACUGAAAUAAAUAUUUUUAUUUUAUUAAGUUUAAUUCUCAUUUUGUUAUCUUAAUAUAAUUGGUAAUGAUGAUAAUCUCUUUAAAUUUAAUGAUUUUGUUUCCCAAUUGAAUAUGAAUAAUUUUGGAUAUUUAUAAUAUAUGUAAAAAUGUAUAUGAAAUUGUAUUAGAUGUUUGUUUGAUAUUUGUUUAUUCAAUAGUCAUAAGUGCUUAUCUAAUCUCAUAUAAGUUCUUUUUAAAAUUUUUGUUUUUGUUUGAUUUAAAAAAAAAAAAGAGCUUUUGACGAUUAAAUAAGUUAUUUUGCCUCUAUUAGCAAAGCUUAAAUUUUGGACUUUGGGAAGUAAAGGUUAAAAAGUUUUUUAAAAAUGUUAAAAUAUCUAAAAUAUCAUUUAUUUAAUUGACAAUAUUUUUUCAUUCAUUUUCUUGUCUAUUAAAGAAAUUUUAUAAUUUUUAAUAAAAGCUCUCAUUGACAACCAAACAAAUAAAAUUAUUUUGGUAAAAGCUCUUCUACUUCAAUAAAUUGUAUUUAAAAAGUUAUACUAAAUAGGGUCUAAGCAUAAAACUGAUUCUCAAAAUUAGUUGUGAAUAGCUAUUCCUUCUCUGUUUUUAAAAUCUAACGUACGAUGGGGUGAUUUUAUUAAAAGUAAUUUUGAAAAAAAUUAACCAAAUAUUAAAAUUAACUUUUAUCUUUUCAAAAAUUAAUUUUGAGCCUCAAGAGCACUCUAUGCCAAACCACAUUUUAGUUGAAAAUUUGAAUUUGAAAAAGAAUUUGAUAUUACUUCGAUUGCCAAGAAAAUGGUUUUGUUGUAAGUGCCAUAUUGUUACAACUGACAUAAAAAGUUUCUAAUAUUUAAAAAAUAAAUAUUGCGAAUUUAAAACUAAGCCCAUAAAUUCAACUUUGAUAUCUUGUUAGAGAAAUAACUUAGCUCAAAAGCUCAAGCAUAAUGUUAAAGUUAAGUCUUUCGACGAAUCUAUUACGAUAAAAAAUUUAGUGUAGCCUAAAACGAAUUACUACGAUAAAUUCCUGAGGGAAAAACCGUGUAAUAUUCUUGAACCUCAUCUAAGUUAAUUAAUUUAAAACCUAACGCAUGUUUGUUUCGGCUUCUCCAUGAAAAAAGGUAAAAGCAUAAACAUGUUUUGAGUAUUGAUGUCGAUACUUUCAUCCAUGGGGAAGCUGCUUCAUGGAAAACAGAGACCCUGCCCUGUUAUUGUAGGUCCAAAAACAAUUAUUAAAUAUAAUUAUAUAAAUUAUAUGCAGCAUCCUUUCCUCAGCUGUCGUUUUAUGCAGCAUGUAUAGUGCUUCCAUAUUUCUUAUCCACAUUUUCCAUGUACCACCAUAUAACUAUUUGUUAACCACAUAUCCUAACUACCCUCCCUUCUUGGAUAUAUAUAAUUCUAGAUAUUUUUUGUUAACAAGUGGACGAUUGGACGAGUGGAGGACUUGAGUCUUCUUCUAAUAUUAAUUGAAUCAUCAAAUUUUUAUCAUUAUGUGCUUGACUUAUUGUGAAAACAGCAAAAGUAAGUACAGAAAUCAGCUGCUCUUAUUUCUUUUAUUUACAUACUGUGGUUGAGCUAAACAGAAACACUCACUGGUAAUACAAGUGAAAUCCUUCUAAGAAAAUAAUAUAUAAUAAACUGUAAAAGUGAAUCUACAAUGCGAUGAGGGAACAAACUGUUUGUAUGGAUGUGAGUAGAAGAAGAAUAACAGCUGCAAUUACAGAGAUAGACGCCCAUGGAGUGUUGAAAUAAUUUUGCUUCAAGGUUGCCUUCCACCUGCUGUACCGUACAUCCGCCUUGGCCGUACAGCAGGGAAACACAGACAUAUUGUAGAAUCAGGAUUAANNNNNNNNNNNNNNNNNNNNNNNNNNNNNNNNNNNNNNNNNNNNNNNNNNNNNNNNNNNNNNNNNNNNNNNNNNNNNNNNNNNNNNNNNNUCUCGAAAGCCAGAACAUUUCUGUACAAACGCUCUGUGGAGCCAUACACCGUUAAAAAUGGAAUUUCUAGAAUUCCCUCAUUAAAUUUGAUGUCGAGUAGAUUUUUGCUUGACCCUGGUUUAAACUUGACUCCAGCUUGGUGAAGUUCCUUUACACUGGGAAUGUUUGGAUCUUUCAACGCAAUAUCUGCACGCGACUGGGAUGGCUGAAGACAGAGUAUAAGCAGAUCAACAAAAUGCUUAGCUUUCGAAAAGUUGAGUUCUAGCAAAUUCUCCUGUAUUGGAAGAUAUCCAACAAUACAAUUCCUGAACCAAAAGCAGGUAAUUGUCAUGAAGGAAAUUUCCUCAUACAAGUUUGUUUCAAACGUUGCUGUUUUGGCUAGAUUAAACAAGUCGUUGGGAAUGAACAAUGGAAGCUGAUUUUCUAGCAGCAAAAUCUC